GACGAACGCUGGCGGCGUGCUUAACACAUGCAAGUCGAACGGAAAGGCCCCUUUUGGGUUGCUCGCGUGGCGGACGGGUGAGUAACACGUACGUAACCUGCCCUUGACUUCCGGAUGGCUACAUUCAACUGAGGCUAAUACCUGCUGGGAAUCCUUUCUUGCUGGUUGGGGGUGGAAAGCUUCGGCGGGUUUGGGGGGACUUGCGGCCUGUCUGCUUGUUGGUUGGGGAGGGGGUUGCCAACGCAUUGACGGGUAGCCGGCCCGGGGGGGGGAACGGCCACAUUGGGACUGGGGUAAGGCCCAGACUCCCACGGGGGGGAGGAGGGGGGAAUAUUGCAAAAUGGGCGGGAGGCUGAUGCAGGAAAGCCGCGGGCGGGAUGACCGGCUUCGGGGUGUAAACCGGUUUCAGCAGGGGAGAAGCUUGUGGUGACGGUACCUGCAGAAGAAGCACCGGCUAACUACGUG
rnacentral:rRNA from 1 species